AGCUAGCUUCCCUGCUGCAUCACCCAGCAGUUCAGAAUGGCAGCAGCGGCCACGCUCUCAACAUCAGCCCAACAUCAGUGACUUUUCCUCCAUGCCUGAUUUCACUGCGGUCAGAUCCACUGUCUCCUCCAACCAGACUGAGAGACUGGAGCAAAGAAGAAGACGUGCAUGAGCGACAAAAGAGGAGGAGGAGGAGGUCAAGUAGUGAUGUGUCCACAGUGAUGUGCUGCUUCAAAAGGGGAGGAGUCAGAAUACAGGUCUCAGCUCCGACCAUAACCUAACCCCCCUGGCAGUGGACGUUCAGAUGCUCCAGAAGC
rnacentral:lncRNA from 1 species